rnacentral:tRNA from 1 species
GGCACCAUAGCUUAGGUGACUAAAGCAUUGGCCUUGUAAGCAGAAGAUCCUGGGUUCAAAUAGCUAAGCAGGAGAUCCUGGGUUCAAAUCCCAGGGGUGCCU